GGCGGAGAGCAUGGGUUAAUACAGGCCAGAGGCAGAGAAAAUAGCAGGGGUGAGAGGCCCUGAACUCAGCGUCGUUUAUUCACGCUUCCAUCCAUUCGGCCAAUUCUGAACGCCCUCUCCGUGUCGGUCGCGUGCUAGGUGCUGGGGACAUAUCGGUGAGCAAGAGACACCAGGGCCCUUGUUCCCGCUGACCCUGCAGCCCAGUGGAUGGAGCCUAGAGUUCACAGACCUGCCAGGAAAGAAAAAAAAUUUCCUGAUGGUUGGUCCAAGCAGGGACUCCCUGGUGGAUUGAGGAAUGUCUGGCUUUUCCUCAGCUCAUUGAUCUCUGUGGCAACCACUGGUGACCCCCAAAAGACCCAAGAAUGAAAGGCCCGAGGUCUAUAAAUUGCUGCUAGAAAUAUUUCAGUCUCUCUACAAAAUAGAAUGCAGCCCGCACACACAUCCCUAAGGGCCCUGGGCGCACACUGACCGCGCGCUGGCGGACACGCCCGUUGCUCCCGGCUGGGC